rnacentral:tRNA from 1 species
GGUGGUGUAGUUCAGUGGUAGAACACUUGCCUGGCAUAUGCAAGGCCCUGGGUUCCAUCCCCAGCACUCUAA